CAUAUUCUUGGAGAGUCGACUUCGUGCUCAGUCAGUUCAAGCCUCCUUCGAGUCACCCUGCUUCGAGUUUUCUCCAUCUUUGAUCUGUAAGUCGCCCAGUUUCCAAUUGCAAUUGGUCAAGGCGACGAACUCGUCUUCAUCGCUCAAGAUGGCAGACAGAUCAACAUCAAAGUCAAAGGGGUUCUUACGACGUCCAGGAGUUAGGCUGGUGAUUUCGUACGAAGGAGGAGUCACCUUUUUAUUGCUCUC
rnacentral:lncRNA from 1 species